AAUCUAUUUCCUGCUGUACUUUCUCCUCACUGACAUUUUUGUUUUGUGUGUGUGUUUUUUUACUGAGUCCUUUCAUAACAGCAGAGCUUUGUGUUGAUGGAAGGAGGAUCAGGAAUAGAGCAGAGGACCUGCUGAUCUACUGGUUCUAGUAGAUUUUAUAAAUGGUUGGAUCUCCUCCGCCUGUAAUCCUCCACCUUCAGCACCACCAGUCAGGUGGAGGAAGAUAAGAGAACCCAGUUGA